UAGCAAUCAACAGUACUGAUGGAGAUGAGAGAAGGAGAAAAUUUCAAGUGUGAGAUUGCAUUUGAUGAGAUUGAUAUGACAAUGGUACAUGCACCAGAGCCAACUGUCAAACAGCACUCCAGCCAGCAACAUUUUCCUGUUGUAUUCUUUGACUUGGAAUCAAAAGGAUUAGCUAGAGAUUCUCAUAUUACACAGCUGCCGUGUGUGGUGAAGAAAAGUUCUCCACCUAUACCUUUCCAAAAAUACCUAUAACAGCAAAAGACUCAGAAAUAACAGAAAUCGAAAAUGUUAAUGGAAAUAUGUUUAGCAAAAAUGAAAAAUGUAGAAGUCAAUCCUUGGAAAAUUGAUGCUCCUCUUAAUUUUGUUUCAAAAUUUCAAACUAAAGUAAUUCUGCAUUUACAAUAGCAAUGUAUGGAUGUUAACAAAUAUGAAUGUUUAUUGUAUACUAUACUCAAUUUAACAUGUUCUGUUUAUGAGAGAGAGAGAGAGAGAGAGAGAGAGA